AUGCAUUUUCUCCAUUAUUUUUUAUGGUAGGCCACUCUGGUAGCCACUCUGGUAGGUCUACAUUAUGAUCAAAUAGCCUCAGUAGCCUACUUGGCCACUGUUAAAACUAACAUAAAGCGGAUACAGCCUCAGUGUUCAGCGCUGGACGUUGCACAGAAUUUUCACAACUGUGAAGUUUGCGCUUAGCAGACCUGAAAUUUCCUCAGUGUCGAAUUGUUUUUGAGGGAACAUUGGCUUUAGGCCCAUUCGUUGCAGACCUGUUUGAACGCAAAGUUACGCUAACUCCUUAUUCAUGAUGUAUGAUACACAGUGAGGCAACAUUAUUAACUCACCUAGCUGACUUGCUAAACUAUACGGAACAAAAAUAUAAACGCAACAUGUAAAGUGAUGGUCCCAUGUUUCAUGAGCUGAAAUAAAAGAAAGCAUACAUUUUCCAAAUGCACAAAAAUCAGUAAUGUCCAACAGAGCUGUUGCCAGAGAAUUUUGUUAAUUUCUCUAUCGUCAUUUUAGAAUCCAACAUGCCUCACAACUGCAGGCCACGUGUAACCACGCCAGCUCAGGACCUCCACAUCUGGCUUCUUCAUCUGCGGGAUUGUCUGUGGAGGGGGAAGGGGGGUGCUGGAGUAUUUAAAAAAAUACUUUUUGUGUGUUUUUGUUGUUGUUGUAUUGCACUCCCUUUUUCUCCCCAAUUUCUUGAUUUCCAAUUGCAAUCCAAUUAUGAUCUUGUCUCAAAGCUGCAACUCCCUAGUGAGGCAAAGGUUGAGUCACGCGUCCUCCAAAACAUGAUGCUGGGCCAAUUGGGGGUGACCCGGACUAUGCUGCACCGCCCUAUGGAGGUCACGGCCGGUUGUAACACAGCCUGGGAAUGAACCCCGGUCUGUAGUGACGCCUUAUUUAGCACUGCAAUGCAGUGCCUUAGACCGCUGCGCCACUCGGGAGGCUGCUGAGAAGUAUUUCUCUCUGUAAUAAAGCCCUUUUGUGGGGAAAAACUCAUUCUGAUUAGCUGGGCCUGGCUUCUAAGUGGGUGGGUCUAUGCACACCCAUGGCUGCACCCCUGCCCAUUCAUGUGAAAUCCAUAGAUUAGGGCCUAAUGAAUUUGUUUAAGUCUUCUAUGAACUGUAACUCAGUAAAAUCUUUGAAAUUGUUGUGUUUAUAUUGUUGUUCAGGAUAUUUGUCAUUUGUGUUUGACAGCAUAUCACUGUGCGGAAAGCAGCUGAUGGCCGUGUUGUUUUAUCCAAGUUCCAGAAGUACCAAUUGUAUCAUUGCCCCUUCUGCCAGCUCUCCAUUUUCAAGCCCCGAGACUAUGCCAGUAUGUCGGCACACAUUGAGUCUCACAGAUUGAAGGCUGUGCUGCAUAGAGAGUUCACAAUAUUCAUGUGCCAUUUGGAGUGCAGAGAGCAGCAAAGCAUUUUCACAGCCCAUACUGCCCCAAGAUCUAUGUAAAUAGGAGUGAUUUUACCAAACACAUUCUACAAUGUGAGUCAGUAUAUGGGCGAGACCCAGGUGCAACUGCGAGAGGCCCAGAUGUAACCAGUGCAACUGCGAGAGGCCCAGAUUUAACAAAUGCAUCUGCGAGAGGCCCAGAUGUAACCCGUGCAGAUAUAACCCGUGCAACUGCGAGAGGCCCAGAUGUAACCAGUGCAACUGCGAGAGGCCCAGAUGUAACCAGUGCAACUGCGAGAGGCCCAGAUGUAACCAGUGCAACUGCGAGAGACCCAGAUGUCACCAGUGCAGAUGUAACCAGUGCAACUGCGAGAGACCCAGGUUCAGCGUGUCCAGCUAUGAGACCUGCAAGCAAGAGGAAAAUCAAAUGUCGUAACUGCAGUUUAUGGCUUAACAAAAAUGAUGAAGAAACAUGAAUUAAGGAAGCAUACAUCUGCUGAGAAGUACAUUACAGCUCACUCCAAUCUCAAAAGACAGUGCUUUGACCAGGACAAUUGGGUGUUUGCAAAGGAUCAACACAUUUUACCCGUCUCUCCUUCUGAUGAAGGAUCAGCAAGGUCUCCAGAGCCUGGAAACUGAUCUUCAGGGGGCUGACUUCAAACUUAAACUGAUGAACCAUUUGAGCCUAAUUGGGGGAUGCGACGUGAAAGAUGCUGUCUGGCGUUUAAUGAGGCGCACAAUUUCCAACACGUUGGCAAAAAAACAUGAAUUGAAGAGGAGUAAAUAGAAAAAUCCCUCUUGCAUCCCUUUCUACUGAGGGAGGUUUUGAUUGCUGUUGUCCGGGAAGAAUCCGUUAACAUAUAGAGCGUCUGAAAGCGAUGUGGAGUCGGCCAUGAAAAAGUGGUUGCAGCUGGCAGCAUACCGGGAAGGAGUGUGGUGGCCCCUGUGCCAUGAUGGACUUGGGAAAUGGGUGGAUUUAUGUGAUAAUGCCCAAGAAGCCGUGGUGUGUAGAUUAUAUAUGUCAAGGGCCAGCAAACCGUGCCAAUAUAACCUCCAACAAGCUUGGAGGGCAUUAUCACUUUUAUACAACGGUUACCGACAUAUUCAAAUAAUGAUUGACUUAUUUUCAUUAAAAACGUUAUU